AUAUAUUCCAAACAAGAAAACGAGAUAAAACCUCAGAGAAAGACCUUAAUAAAAUGAAGGUAAGUGAUUUAUCUGAUAAAGAGUUCAAAAUAACAAUCAUAAAAAUGCUCACUGAAAACCACAGAAGAAUACAUGAACAAAGUGACUAUUUCAAUGAAAGACAAAAAAUAUAAGAAGAUACCAAAUAGAAUUCAGAGUUGAAAAAUCCAGUAGCUGAACUGAAAAAAUAUGAUAGAGGGGUUCAAGAUCAGAAGAAAGAAUACGCAAAUUCAAAAGUUGGAGUAGUGGAACUCAUCCAAUCAGAGGGGAAAAAAAAGGAGAAAAAGGAAAAGGAAUGAAGAUUAAGAGACUUAUCAAGCAGACCAAUAUUUGUAUCAUAGGGGUCCCAGAAGGAUAAGAGAAAAAGGAGAAAAACACUUGAACAACAAAUAGUUGAAAACGUCCUAAACUGGGAAAUCAAAAUGACAUCAAAAUCCAAAUAAGAUAAAUAAAAAACAACAACCAUACCAAGGCACAUUAUAAUUAAAGUGUGAAAAGUUAAAAGAGAAAAACCUCAAAAGCAGCAAGAAAAAAACAACUUCUCAUAGACACAGGGAACCCCCAUAAGACCAUGAGCAGACUUUCCAGAAGAAAUUCUACAGGCUAGAAGGGAGUGGCACGAUAUAUUCAAAGCGCUGAAAGAAAACUUCCUAGCAAGAAUACUCUAUCUGGCAAAGUUGUUCUUCAUAAUUGAAGGAGAGAUAAAGAGUCUUCCAAACAAGUAACUAAAAAUAUUCAUCACUAUUAGACUGGCCCUACAAAAAAUGUGAAAGAAACUUCUUUAAGUUAAAACAAAAAAAUACAAGUUAGUAACAGUAAAAAAUAAAAAUAUCAAUCUCAAUGGUAAAGGUAAAUAUCAUAAACUCAACAGUAAAAUUCAAAAUAACCUAAUGCUUUGAAGGCGGUAGGUUAAUCACUUAUAAAGCUAAUAUAAAGGUUAAAAACCGAAAGUAUUAAAAAUAACUACAACUACAAUAAUUUGUUGAUACACAAGGUAAAAUUAUGUAAAAUGUGACAUGAAAAGCAUAAAACAUGGGAGGAGUAAAAAUGCAGAGUUCCAGAAUGCAUUCAAAUUUAAGUUGUUAUAAACCUAAAACAGACAUGUUCUAAGUUGUUGUGUGUAAGCCCUUGGUAACCAAAAUGCAAAAACCUAUAGUAGAUACACUAAAGACAAAGAGAAAAAAAUAUGAACAUAGUAGUAUAGAAAAUCAACUGAGCUACCUACCCAGUGCCUUUAAGUGAGUCUUAAAAUUGUUAUUUAACUUGAUACAUAAGAUAUAUACUAUAGAAUAUUCAAAUGCAAAUAAGGCUAUCUUGAUUACAACUGGACAACAGGAAAGUAAUAUGCUAUUCACAAAAAAAACACAAAAACCUUAAAAUACCAAGUUACUGCUUAUUAAAAAACACGAAAAAAUAAAACAAAAAAUGAGAA